AGUGAACGCUGGCGGUAGGCCUAACACAUGCAAGUCGAACGGCAGCACAGUAAGAGCUUGCUCUUACGGGUGGCGAGUGGCGGACGGGUGAGGAAUACAUCGGAAUCUACUUUUUCGUGGGGGAUAACGUAGGGAAACUUACGCUAAUACCGCAUACGACCUACGGGUGAAAGCAGGGGAUCUUCGGACCUUGCGCGAUUGAAUGAGCCGAUGUCGGAUUGGCUGGUUGGCGGGGUAAAGGCCCACCAAGGCGACGAUCCGUAGCUGGUCUGAGAGGAUGAUCGGCCACACUGGAACUGAGACACGGUCCAGACUCCUACGGGAGGCAGCAGUGGGGAAUAUUAGACAAUGGGCGCAAGCCUGAUCCAGCCAUACCGCGUGGGUGAAGAAGGCCUUCGGGUUGUAAAGCCCUUUUGUUGGGAAAGAAAAGCAGCAGGUUAAUACCCCGCUGUUCUGACGGUACCCAAAGAAUAAGCACCGGCUAACUUCGUG
rnacentral:rRNA from 1 species